CCUGGCUCAGAACGAACGCUGGCGGCGUGCUUAACACAUGCAAGUCGAACGCGAAAGGGACUUCGGCCUGAGUAAAGUGGCGCACGGGUGAGUAACGCGUGGAUAAUCUACCCGAUGGACCGGGAUAACAUUUCGAAAGGGGUGCUAAUACCGGAUAAGACCACGGCUUCUUAGGGGGCUGCGGUAAAAGGUGGGGACCUUCGGGCCUACCGUCAUCGGAUGAGUCCGCGUACCAUUAGCUAGUUGGUAGGGUAAGGGCCUACCAAGGCGACGAUGGUUAGCUGGUCUGAGAGGAUGAUCAGCCACACUGGAACUGAGACACGGUCCAGACUCCUACGGGAGGCAGCAGUGGGGAACUUUGCGCAAUGGGGGAAACCCUGACGCAGCAACGCCGCGUGAGUGAUGAAAGGCCUUCGGGUCGUAAAGCUCUGUCAGAGGGGAAGAAGUGCAGGGGUGCUAAUAUCACCUUUGCUUGACGGUACCCUCAAAGGAAGCACCGGCUAACUCCGUGCCAGCAGCCGC
rnacentral:rRNA from 1 species